UGUGGGAUAAAAGGCGCUUUCUAAGACUGAUAUUUUCGGCCAUAUGAUAUUUAAGAUACAUGAUCUUACCUAGUCUAUUAUGGGGGAAGAAUGUGUGUUUUCUAAGACCGAAGACUUGACUAAUUGUUGAGUAGAAUUCACCAUAUGAGUUGUUUAAGUUCUAUCACAUUCCUCAACAUGUCUGCCUUCAAGGAUGUUAAGUCCCUACGGACUUUUCUUAAAAUUUA
rnacentral:lncRNA from 1 species